ACUGCUCCUAGAGGCGUUGCAGAUGUGGCUACUGUGCCACAUUUGUGUCAUUAGGUGGCGGAGAGAAGAGAGGCUUGACUAUGCCCAGAGUUCUGGCCCGUGGACAUCUGGAUGAUUGAUAGCCUGACACU